rnacentral:rRNA from 1 species
AGAGUUUGAUCCUGGCUCAGGAUGAACGCUGGCGGCGUGCUUAACACAUGCAAGUCGAACGAACCUUCGGGUUAGUGGCGGACGGGUGAGUAACGCGUGGGAAUCUGCCCUCAGGAGGGGGAUAACGGCUGGAAACGGCCGCUAAUACCCCAUAUGCCGAGAGGUGAAAUGAAUUUCGCCUGAGGAUGAGCCCGCGUCUGAUUAGCUAGUUGGUGAGGUAAGAGCUCACCAAGGCAUCGAUCAGUAGCUGGUCUGAGAGGAUGAUCAGCCACACUGGGACUGAGACACGGCCCAGACUCCUACGGGAGGCAGCAGUGGGGAAUUUUCCGCAAUGGGCGAAAGCCUGACGGAGCAACGCCGCGUGAGGGAUGAAGGCCUCUGGGCUGUAAACCUCUUUUCUCAAGGAAGAAGAUCUGACGGUACUUGAGGAAUAAGCCACGGCUAAUUCCGUGCCAGCAGCCGCGGUAAUACGGGAGUGGCAAGCGUUAUCCGGAAUUAUUGGGCGUAAAGCGUCCGCAGGCGGCCCUUCAAGUCUGCUGUUAAAAAGUGGAGCUUAACUCCAUCAUGGCAGUGGAAACUGUUGGGCUUGAGUGUGGUAGGGGCAGAGGGAAUUCCCGGUGUAGCGGUGAAAUGCGUAGAUAUCGGGAAGAACACCAGUGGCGAAGGCGCUCUGCUGGGCCAUAACUGACGCUCAUGGACGAAAGCCAGGGGAGCGAAAGGGAUUAGAUACCCCUGUAGUCCUGGCCGUAAACGAUGAACACUAGGUGUCGGGGGAAUCGACCCCCUCGGUGUCGUAGCCAACGCGUUAAGUGUUCCGCCUGGGGAGUACGCACGCAAGUGUGAAACUCAAAGGAAUUGACGGGGGCCCGCACAAGCGGUGGAGUAUGUGGUUUAAUUCGAUGCAACGCGAAGAACCUUACCAGGGUUUGACAUCCUGCGAACCUCUUGGAAACGAGAGGGUGCCUUCGGGAGCGCAGUGACAGGUGGUGCAUGGCUGUCGUCAGCUCGUG